AGAGCCCAAACCAACAAGCUUGCUUGUUGGGGUUGUAGGACACUCUGUACGGAGUUACAAAGGAAUAUGUUAGACGAAUAACCUGGAAAGGUUAAUCAUAGAAGGUAAUAAUCCUGUAGUCGAAAACGUAUACCCUCCUGAGUGGAUCCUGAGUACGGCGGAGCACGUGAAAUUCCGUCGGAAUCUGGGAGGACCAUCUCCCAAGGCUAAAUACUCUCUAGUGACCGAUAGUGAACCAGUACCGUGAGGGAAAGG
rnacentral:rRNA from 1 species